rnacentral:rRNA from 1 species
UGUAAGCGUAUACCAAAGUUGUUGCAGUUAAAACGCUCGUAGUCGGAAUUUGGCAGUUCCGGAUGUGUGCACGUCGUGUGCGCACUUCGCGGGGAUUGCUUUUGUGGUCUUGCGUAGGAUGAGGCACUUUUAUUAGUGAACGUCCUCACGCAACCACUUUUUACUGUGAGAAAAUCAGAGUGCUCAAAGCAGGCAUUUGCCGUGAAUAUAUUAGCAUGGAAUAAUAGAAUAGGACUUGGUUCUAUUUUGUUGGUUUGUUGGGACUGAGUAAUGAUUAAGAGGGACAGUUGGGGGCAUUUGUAUUUCGGUGCUAGAGGUGAAAUUCUUAGAUUACCGAAAGACAAACUGCUGCGAAAGCGUCUGCCAAGGAUGUUUUCAUUGA